rnacentral:rRNA from 1 species
UACGAAGGGUGCAAGCGUUACUCGGAAUUACUGGGCGUAAAGCGUGCGUAGGUGGUUGUUUAAGUCUGUUGUGAAAGCCCUGGGCUCAACCUGGGAAUUGCAGUGGAUACUGGGUGACUAGAGUGUGGUAGAGGGUAGUGGAAUUCCCGGUGUAGCAGUGAAAUGCGUAGAGAUCGGGAGGAACAUCCAUGGCGAAGGCAGCUACCUGGACCAACACUGACACUGAGGCACGAAAGCGUGGGGAGCAAACAGG